rnacentral:rRNA from 1 species
AUUGAACGCUGGCGGCAUGCCUUACACAUGCAAGUCGAACGGUAACGCGGGGGCAACCCUGGCGACGAGUGGCGAACGGGUGAGUAAUACAUCGGAACGUACCCAGUAGUGGGGGAUAGCUCGGCGAAAGCCGGAUUAAUACCGCAUACGACCUAUGGGUGAAAGCGGGGGAUCGCAAGACCUCGCGCUAUUGGAGCGGCCGAUGUCGGAUUAGCUAGUUGGUGAGGUAAAGGCNCACUAAGGCUACGAUCCGUAGCUGGUCUGAGAGGACGACCAGCCACACUGGGACUGAGACACGGCCCAGACUCCUACGGGAGGCAGCAGUGGGGAAUUUUGGACAAUGGGCGAAAGCCUGAUCCAGCCAUGCCGCGUGUGUGAAGAAGGCC